AACCAGCACCUCAAGUGGUCAGGAUGAUUAUUGGGCCUAAAGCAUCCGUAGCCGGCUCUGUAAGUUUUCGGUUAAAUCUGUACGCUUAACGUACAGGCUGCCGGGAAUACUGCAGAGCUAGGUAGUGGGAGAGGUAGACGGUACUCGGUAGGAAGGGGUAAAAUCCUUUGAUCUAUUGAUGACCACCUGUGGCGAAGGCGGUCUACCAGAACACGUACGACGGUGAGGGAUGAAAGCUGGGGGAGCAAACCGGAUUAGAUACCCGGGUAGUCCCAGCUGUAAACUAUGCAAACUCAGUGAUGCAUUGGCUUGUGGCCAAUGCAGUGCUGCAGGGAAGCCGUUAAGUUUGCCGCCUGGGAAGUACGUACGCAAGUAUGAAACUUAAAGGAAUUGGCGGGGGAGCACCACAAGGGGUGAAGCCUGCGGUUCAAUUGGAGUCAACGCCAGAAAUCUUACCCGGAGAGACAGCAGAAUGAAGGUCAAGCUGAAGACUUUACCAGACAAGCUGAGAGGUGGUGCAUGGCCGUCGCCAGCUCGUGCCGUGAGAUGUCCUGUUAAGUCAGGUAACGAGCGAGAUCCCUGCCUCUAGUUGCCACCAUUACUCUCAGGAGUAGUGGGGCGAAUUAGCGGGACCGCCGCAGUUAAUGCGGAGGAAGGAAGGGGCCACGGCAGGUCAGUAUGCCCCGAAACUCUGGGGCCACACGCGGGCUGCAAUGGUAACGACAAUGGGUUUCGAAUUCGAAAGGAUGAGGUAAUCCUCAAACGUUACCACAGUUAUGACUGAGGGCUGCAACUCGCCCUCACGAAUAUGGAAUCCCUAGUAACUGCGUGUCACUAUCGCGCGGUGAAUACGUCCCUGCUCCU
rnacentral:rRNA from 1 species